rnacentral:rRNA from 1 species
AUACGUAGGGUGCGAGCGUUGUCCGGAAUUACUGGGCGUAAAGAGCUCGUAGGUGGUUUGUCGCGUCGUCUGUGAAAUUCCGGGGCUUAACUCCGGGCGUGCAGGCGAUACGGGCAUAACUUGAGUACUGUAGGGGAGACUGGAAUUCCUGGUGUAGCGGUGAAAUGCGCAGAUAUCAGGAGGAACACCGGUGGCGAAGGCGGGUCUAUGGGCAGUAACGGACGCUGAGGAUCGAAGGCAUGUGUAGCGAGAAGGAUUAGAUCCCCUGGUAGUCCAUGCCGUAAACGUGGGGCGCUAGGUGUAGGGGUCUUCCACGACUUCUGUGCCGUAGCUAACGCAUUAAGCGCCCCGCCUGGGGAGUACGGCCGCAAGGCUAAAACUCAAAGGAAUUGACGGGG